rnacentral:lncRNA from 1 species
CCUGAAAGUCUUGGGAACCCCCUAAAGUCUUUUGGGAAUCCUCAAAAAGCAUGGGAAGUUAAGUAUUUAGCUACAUAAAUGUUGUAAGAUCAUAUCUUAUGUAUAGAAGUAAUAAGACCAUUUGGAAUUACUGGACUAAUUGAAUAGUUAAGGUUUCUAUUCGGGACAAUAAAAUGUAUUUUGAAAGUGCUGCUAACUAUUGAUGCUGACAGUGUUUCACUCCUAUGAGUGACCCAAACAUAUUAUAAAUAUGUGGUAAAGGGAAUGGAGCCUGUGGGGUUGAGCAGAAUGUUGUACUAGCUGUGCCUGGACUGAGUAUAACAGCUUUAUGAUUAUGAGAAAACAAAUUCUUUAUUUUUUUUUCUGUUCCAAAGAUUCAUCCUAUGGGGUGGCCAUAAAGUCUAGAAUUAGAUACUAAUAUUUUGUCAUUCAUUAUAACAUAUCGAUAAACCAUUUGUUAAAAGAUUUGCCUGGUUUCCAGACUUGGUGGCCACCUUGAAUAAUUCUUGCUGUCUUCUGGGAAGGAUGAUGAAAUUUAUUCCUGCUGCCUUAAAAAUAUGUAUCCCUUCUUCACCCAUCAUGACUGUCCCCAGUGAGUGUCCUUUACUAUUCUUGGGAGUGACUCCUGUCUAACUUUUCAUACUGGCGAGAAGAAAAGAAGCCUAUUUUAACACUUUAGUGGUGUUGAAACACAUUACUUACUUUCUGAAGAUGUCCCAGUGAAUCCUCUGUCAAUUCACUGCCAUAUGUAAUCUAUAUGAUAAGGAAUGCAUCUUCCUUCUAAGUACUGCCCAAACUCUUGCCAGCUCCUCUCCCAUUGUCCCUUCAUGUGAAUAUUUCUUGGCUACCUUAGUGGAAAUAUAGAUCAGUCUUCUCCCCAUCCAUCCUCUCAAACAUAAUGAGAUUGUUUACUUUUUAGAUUUAUGCAGUGAAAAUGCCCAGUCAGGUCUGAAUCGUCAGUGCAUUAUAUUGACUCUGAGCACUUUAGAAUUUAGAGUUGCAAUUGAAUGCCAGCUGUGGAGAUGGGGUGCAUAUCAGAUAUAUAAAUAAAGCUCAGGUUUGCUAGGGAACCAGGUAUAGAGAAAAAUAAGUCUGAUAUGAGGAAGGAAAAUUGCACAAUUUAGAGUAGUUAUGCCAUAGAGAAAAUUUCCACAAACUAGGAAAUGUAGAGAGUUAUUCUAUAGAAUACUCAAAAGAGGAAAGUAUGUGAUUUUUGGAAACAGGAAAAUCUUCAAACUUCUUUCUUCACUUCCCUUUGUGUUUAGCUGACCCUCCAAUGUGAUCAUUGCCUUUGGAGUUUGGGAGAGGUACGGGAAGUGGCCUGAUCCCUGCUUCCAUACUUCACUCCUCCAUCCAUCCUUCCCUCCCUCUUCCCCUCCAGCUAAAUGGACAAUUCUAGCCAACAUUGAGUCACUCAAUAAGUCUCAACAGUGGGUGUGUUUGCUGAGAUUGUCCAGCAGUUGAGCAGUUUGGUCUCACCUCCCUCGCUAGUUGAGACCAAAAAGAGACAAAUAACUUUUUCAUGGUCUUUGAAACAUAAUGCUUAUUUCGUGGUCAAUGGCUUUAAAAAAAUCUGUUUCUUGUUUUCUUCAACAAACUCACUAGUUUUCCC